GAUGAAGAACGUAGCGAAAUGCGAUAAGUAAUGUGAAUUGCAGAAUUCAGUGAAUCAUCGAGUCUUUGAACGCACAUUGCGCCCUCUGGUAUUCCGGAGGGCAUGCCUGUCCGAGCGUCAUUGCUGCCCUCAAGCACGGCUUGUGUGUUGGGCUCCGUCCCCCGAUCCCGGGGGACGGGCCCGAAAGGCAGCGGCGGCACCGCGUCCGGUCCUCGAGCGUAUGGGGCUUUGUCACCCGCUCUGUAGGCCCGGCCGGCGCUUGCCGAUCAACCAAAUUUUUAUCCAGGUUGACCUCGGAUCAGGUAGGGAUACCCGCUGAACUUAAGCAUAUCAAUAAGCGGGGA
rnacentral:misc_RNA from 1 species